UGACAAGCAAGGUAGAUUCAGUAACGAUAUUGCUGUCAUCAGUACCAAAAAGCCGAUUGAAUUCAAUGAACACGUUAAGGCAUUACCAUUACCUGAAAAGGAUGUCAUGACUGGAUUGUCCUGCAUCCUAAGCGGCUGGGGCAAACUGGGUGUUAAACAGCCACAACCUGACAAACUACAGUAUCUGUAUGUAAAAACUUUAACCGGAAAGCAGUGUAAUGAAUAUUUUAAAAGAACACGCACGAAUAUUACUAUAAGUUCCAGACAGAUGUGUACUCUUAACAAACGUGGAGAAGGAGGAUGCCAAGGUGAUUCUGGUGGCAGCUUAGUAUGUAACGGCAUGUCGACCGGCAUCUCGUCGUUCAAUCGGCCCUGCGCUAGAAAUUUCCCUGACGUGUACGCUAACACUUACAUGUACAAGUCGUGGAUAGCCCGAAAUACAAAAUCACCUUAGGCACGUCAUUUAUAUUCUAUAAAUUACGUAAAUAUUCUAAGUUUUUUAUUUACUGUACCUAAAUUUUAAGUUAUCAGACACCAUUAUCAACCUAGUGCAUUUAAUUUAAUACGCGAAAGAGUAUCAGCAUU